CCUCUGGGGAUUCUUUUAAAAACUGAAUUAUGUCAUACAUCUGUAUCGUUAAAAUAUAUAACAAUACCCGAGUCUUGUCUGUUAGUUCAUGCUUGGCAGCAAAGAGAAUUCGAUGGUAAGAUAUCAUCCCACAUAUGUUCAAUGAUUGGAGACUUUCAAUUAUUUAUGGAAUGUAACUGGGUGCAUCAUGCUGUUGAUUCAAAAGAAGGAUUGAAGCUGACAACAAAACAGGCUUUAAAGAGGGCAUAUAAAAAAGUAGGUACGUUCCCAAAAUUUCACAUUUACUUAGGUGUUGAUUAGGAGGGAAGAAUGUUGAGAUUUGUCAAAACUAUAACAAUUUCAAAGAUUACUUCUAACUCUAAAUGACCGAGCCAUUCUCUAUAGUCUACCGAUGGUUCUAUUAGAAUAGGAACCAUAGCUAGAGUCAAGUUAUUGUAGGCAUUCUUUGGGACCCAAGCUAGCCCUGACUGACCACAACUUUAUUUGAACUAGUCUAGACAUUGACAUGCACACUGAUGUAACACGAACAAGCAUGACACCAGUUGGCCUGAUAUGAACAUUUCUU
rnacentral:lncRNA from 1 species